AACACGAUAGUUUUUAUUGGUUAUGAAUAUGUAAAAAGAGAAUUCAUAAAUUAUUAAUUUUUUCAUAGAAGGGAUUAUAGAUUAUAAUUACACUCUGGAUAAAUUAAUCGCAUUGUUCGAAGAACUGCAUUGUUCGUGUUAUGCAUUGAUAACAUAUCAUGGUAACUGCAUUAUGAAAAGAUUUGUGAAAUUUCUUAACGAUUUUAUUAAUAACAUAUUGAAUUUUAGUUAUAAUAUUUUCAUAAAUCUGUAAUUCAUUUUUGAACAUUCUUUUUAGCUUUUGCAAAAUCAAAUAUACGCGAUAAGUAUCAUUUCCCCAAUGUCCGCAGGUGUUAUUCCCAUCUACGAUGGAUCUGGGAUAAGAAUUUGCGGUGUUCGGCCUUCCAGCAUAUCGUGGAGUAGAAUACCAAUUUCCUUAAAACAAUUUUUUCAUUAUUAGAAAGAGAAAGUUGUACAUUAAUAACACAUCGAAAGUAUUUCAACAGGGACUGAAAAUAACUUAAUCGAUAAAACAUUCGCAAAGUGAACGAGAGUUCUGUAUUUUUCUACGACGUACAAGGUCAUUAACACUUAUGUCAUCGCCGAUGAAAGAAGUAGAUAACACAGCACUCGGCGAGCUCGAAGUUUCGAACCUCCGCUUCCAGAAACCUAGGGGGAUGAUUUAGCGAAAAAGGAAUCCCCGAGGGGGGAUGAUUUCAAAACUACCUUCGAGGACUGGAGAAAAUCGAGCGUCGGAUUUUUGAUCGCGAUGUAACAAUGUCGUGAAUUAAAUCAUUCGGAAGGGGCGCCGAUUAAUCUCGGGACGUCCAGAACCGUGUACCGCUAAUUAAACCAGCAUCGUAUCAUUUUACGACGAUAACGACACCCGUUCGUUACGUUUAUGAAAGUGUUAAGAAAAUCAUCUUUUGUUUCAGGGACACCCUGUAUAAGUAAAGCAAUGUAAUAGCGUACCUCUUCUCUCUGAGCUCGUAAUCUAUCAAUGAUUGGCUCGUUAAAAUUAGAGUCGUUACUAGGAUCUUUUAAGAUAUCGUUAUUCUUCGACUGCUGCGGGAUACGAGCAAUGUAAACGUGUUUGAUGGCGUCCAAUAUAGCUGCAGGACGCGUUGGAGGAAAUUGUAAAUCGAUUGACGAGAAACAAUCCGUACCGGAACGCACGUGUUAAUAUCACAAUAUUAUUAUCGAUAGCAAGAUAUCUAAGACGGAAACUCACGAAAGUUGGGUGUCAAAUCCAUGAUGAGAUAAUACGUCUUUAGUUUGUCGUACGAGGGUCUUAUCUUUAGAAGAAUGAUAAUAGAGACCUGCUCCUAAAGUAUGAGCUAUAGCUCUCAACGUUUUCCCGAUUAAUUCUUUGGUACCCGUGUCUAAACCCUUUUGAAAAUUACCAAACGUUUGUCAUUUGUAACAUCAUUUUUUAGCGAAAAAAUAGAGCAUGUCGAUACCUUAAACUGAUCGUAUUUUCCUCCGAUAAUGCAUAACUUCAAUGGAAAUGGAUCAACUUCUUUUUCCAAUGCUUUUUUCCGUUCAUUAAUUCGUCGUUGUUUAAGUUCCUGAAUCGUUUUAUCAUCGUAACUCAUUUUCAUAGCGCUAUGAAUUACUGAGAAAAUUUCUUCGAAUGUGAUCCACAAAGAUUCUGGUUGCGACAAGUCCAACAUUAUUAAUAACGUGGUAUGAGCAGGAGAAUGAGUCAAAGACAAGCCAGUCAUUGCAGCUGAUACUAACGAAGAAGUCGAGUAUCCUAUUUCCCAAAUGUGAACGAUAUUUUUCAUCUGCACCGAUGAGAAAAGGUUGAGAGUUGAACAUUUUUCUUAAUAAUCAUAACAGAUGCGGGUACUUAUUUGUGUAAGCAAAUUUACUUUCAUAUUUUUAAUAUAAUUUCUUUACAGUUUGUUAGGUAUUUUUUUAGAUAAAAAUAACAAUUGCUAACAGUUGUUUGGCUUUGACAUUUCCGGAACUAUAUUUUCAUCAUAAAUUGAUUAUCUUCCUGUUAUUAAUAUAUCAAGGUAACUAAUUAGACUGUACACCCCAGUGAACAAUAGAAAUAUAUACAAUUUACUACCGACAAUUAAAACGUGUUAAUCCAUCAUUAUAGUUUCUUCACUUGGAGUAACUUGUUUUAU